AGAAUGAACGCUGGCGGCGUGCUUAACACAUGCAAGUCGAGCGAGGCGGAAGGGGGCAACUCCUUCCAGUCGAGCGGCGGACGGGUGAGUAACACGUGGGUAACCUGCCCGGAAGUGGGGAAUACCUCGGGGAAACUCGAGCUAAUACCGCAUGACAUCUUCGGGACGAAAGUCCUGGUGAUCAAAGCGGGGUCGCAAGAUCUCGCGCUACCGGAUGGGCCCGCGCCCGAUUAGCUAGUUGGUGAGGUAACGGCUCACCAAGGCUUCGAUCGGUAACCGGCCUGAGAGGGCGAUCGGUCACACCGGAACUGAGACACGGUCCGGACUCCUACGGGAGGCAGCAGUGGGGAAUCUUGCGCAAUGGGCGAAAGCCUGACGCAGCAACGCCGCGUGGAGGAUGAAGGCCCUUGGGUUGUAAACUCCUGUCGGCUGGAAGAAAUCGUUCGGGUUAAUACCCUCGGACGUUGACUGUACCAGCAAAGGAAGCCCCGGCUAACUCUGUGCCAGCAGCCGCGGUAA
rnacentral:rRNA from 1 species